rnacentral:lncRNA from 1 species
UUCUGAUAUAUUAUUACACCCAUUCUGUGGUGUAUAUAAAUAGAUUACAAUCGUACUACAACCGUACUACACAACAUAUACAAGGUAAGUAAUUACAACAAUAUAUUCCCUUGUAGUCUAUUCCUAAUAGGGAACGAUGACUCACACUAACAUUAGAUUCUUAUGUUUUAUGAUUGCUGCAGCAUAUGAUUGUUUGAUAAAAGAUCUUGGUUCUCUCUAUGAGAAAUAGCAGACUUCUCACGAAGUAUAAAGAAAGAUUCUGCAAGUGUAGAAUAAAGGAGGACCUUAUGUGGAAAUUCAGAAAUCUGGCAUUGCUGAUUUAGAUGCAAGUUUUUCUUUAGUUCUGCUACAGUGGUUGUGAUCAUAUUAACCUUGAAAUUAGAUUGUAGAAAUGUACAAUAUCAGUGAUCACAAAAGAGGUUCUUGUCAUUGCAGUUGCUAGAUGAACCAAUAUGAAAGUCCAAGUGGGAGAAUGUAAGCUUUUAUUUGGACUUGCAUAUAACACAGAAUUCAUCAAGCACAUGCAUUUAAAGUUUACUUAAGAACAAGAAUUAAAGUUUGUACAUUGACUAUUAUC